UAACCUACGGGACGCAGCAGUGGGGAAUAUUGGGCAAUGGGCGCAAGCCUGACCCAGCAAUGCCGCGUGAAGGAAGAAGGCCCUCGGGUUGUAAACUUCUUUUAUCAGGGACGAAGGAUGUGACGGUACCUGAUGAAUAAGCUCCGGCUAACUACGUGCCAGCAGCCGCGGUAAUACGUAGGGAGCAAGCGUUAUCCGGAUUUACUGGGUGUAAAGCGCUCGUAGGCGGUAUGUCAAGUCAAGGGUGAUAUCCCCGCGCUCAACGUGGGAACUGCCUUUGAAACUGGCAAACUGGAGUGUGGGAG
rnacentral:rRNA from 1 species